rnacentral:rRNA from 1 species
UACGAAGGGGGCUAGCGUUGUUCGGAAUUACUGGGCGUAAAGCGCACGUAGGCGGCAUGUUAAGUCAGGGGUGAAAUCCCGGGGCUCAACCCCGGAACUGCCUUUGAUACUGGCAUUCUCGAGUCCGGAAGAGGUGAGUGGAAUUCCGAGUGUAGAGGUGAAAUUCGUAGAUAUUCGGAGGAACACCAGUGGCGAAGGCGGCUCACUGGACCGGUACUGACGCUGAGGUGCGAAAGCGUGGGGAGCAAACAGG